rnacentral:lncRNA from 1 species
CGGCUGCCCGCGCCAGGCCCGGGAGGCUGCCGCGCCUGCGCCCCCCGCGCUUCCUCUAGGCGGCAGCGCUGAGGCAUGGAGGGUGCUGUGGGGGCUUGGGCCGGGGGCGAGAGGGGCAGCGCUGCCCCCCCGCCUGGCCUCCGCAGGGACGACCACUGCUGUAACAGCCCCUUCUGUGCAGAGCUGAAGCUGAUGUUCAUGGACAGAUGUAACCUCCAAUGUCAUCAGCUGCGUCACUUGUAAAUGCCAUGGCACCUUCCCAGAGCUGGGAUGAACAAAGUCUCUUUCCUGGUAAUGGGCUGUCAUUGCCCCAGGGUUUCCACCUGCUGCCGCAGCCAUGCUCUCUGAGCCCACACAGCUCCCAUCUUCCCACCACUUCUACUGUGCUCACGGAGCUGUGGGUGGCAGCAGUCAUUAGCUAUUUGAUUUGGACCCAUUCCUCAAAGAACUUCAGAAAAAAAAAAUAAAAUUUGUGACUCCUUUAGAGUGUGUUUCAGUUUUUAGAGCUGGGUUGCCUGCUGGGACCCUGGACUGGAAAUUAGGAAAUCUGGGACCAUUUUCCAAUAUUUCCCAGGCUUACUCAGUGAAUCUGGACACUUUACUUAACCAGUCAGUUCACAAUCUGUGAAUUAAGUAACUUCCACCAUCAUUCUUCAUAUUGUCUGGUCUGCUCAGGGUGUAAAGGGGCUGAGACAUUCCUUUGUUAUUACCUUACGCAGCCUACAGAGAGAGCAGCGAAGCCCUGAGCUUGGCCAGAGUCUCCAGCUGCUUCAGAAAUAGUCACUGGGCAUAAAAUGGACACGUUUUCCUUCCAGACAGCGCCAGGCUGAGGGCAGAGAAGUGAAGUGUUUUCCUCUAGCUGAAAAUAGGAGAUGGUGUGUGUUUUGGGCCAUCCUUGCUUUGUCUUCCCAGUGUUUGUUCCUCUGUGAAUGUCUUCUGGGA